GACGAACGCUGGCGGCGUGCUUAACACAUGCAAGUCGAACGGAAAGGCCCUGCUUUUGUGGGGUGCUCGAGUGGCGAACGGGUGAGUAACACGUGGGUAACCUGCCCUUGACUUUGGGAUAACUUCAGGAAACUGGGGCUAAUACCGGAUAGGAGCUCCUGCUGCAUGGUGGGGGUUGGAAAGUUUCGGCGGUUGGGGAUGGACUCGCGGCUUAUCAGCUUGUUGGUGGGGUAGUGGCUUACCAAGGCUUUGACGGGUAGCCGGCCUGAGAGGGUGACCGGCCACAUUGGGACUGAGAUACGGCCCAGACUCCUACGGGAGGCAGCAGUGGGGAAUAUUGCACAAUGGGCGGAGGCCUGAUGCAGCAACGCCGCGUGCGGGAUGACGGCCUUCGGGUUGUAAACCGCUUUCGCCUGUGACGAAGCGUGAGUGACGGUAAUGGGUAAAGAAGCACCGGCUAACUACGUG
rnacentral:rRNA from 1 species